GGCAACGCACAAAAAAAAACAAGCCCUAGCCUCUUCCUCUCGUCGCCUACCUCCAGCGAGCCCUGUCUCCCCUCCCUCCGACGUUCCAGCCCCGGCGACCUCCCUCCCACGACCUCAAGCAAGCCCCGUCCCCCCUCCCUCCCGCGGCGACCUCCAACGACCUCAGCGUCGCCUCCCUCGUUGCCUCCCUCCAGCGAGCCCUGUCCCCCCUCCCUCCGACGUUCCAUCCCCCGACGACCUCCCUCCCACGGCCUCCGGCGCCCACGGCGAACUCCAGCGGUCUCAGUGUCGCCUCCCUCCCUCCAGUGCCCGCGGUGACCUCCAGCGGCCUCAGCGUUGCCUCCCUCCCUGCAGCGCCGUCUCCAGCGCCGGCCUCCCUCGUCACCACUCUCCAGCGCCGCCCUCCUGCACACGCCAACGCACAAAAAAAGCCCUAGCAUCUUCCAACUCCAGCGUCGCCUCCCUCCCUCCAGCGCCGGCCUCCCUCGUCGCCUGCGGCCUCCCUCCAGCGCCCUCUCCAGUCGCCUCCCUCGAAUUCGAUUCCAGCGACCUCCGUCCUUGGCACCGUGUGGACAGAGCAAUUUGAAGAUUAUUUAAGCAAUGCAAGCGGUGUUGUGCAUUUGGAACGGAUCUUGAUCUUUGAAGAUCUCUGUCAAAGAUCCAACUAUCAUUGUGCAAAGAAGAAAGAGAACUAAGCACCAACUGGGUUCAAGACAAAAAAUGAACGUAUUUUUUUUUAAAGAUAAAGCAAGCACACAGGAGAUAUCGGAUCAAGUAAGAAGUCAGAGAAGAGUUGACUUUGUUUCUCACGCUGAUCAGGACGGGCACCAAGAACAGUUGCUUGGUCUCUGACCUACUCCCAAGCUGCUAGCUCUUUGGCUGUCGAGAUAUAAUGGAUGUUGAUCUAGUGAUGGAGAAUGAUGAGACUAAUUUUGAAGCCUAAAUAUUGAAGGAAAAGUCCUUGGAUCAUCCCUAACUAUUAUUUUCUUCUUAAUACAUGGGUUGCUUAUGCUUGAGGCAGUGUAUGUCAAUUAUUUACAGCAAAUUUAUAUGAAAUUAACUCAUCUGAGUUUGUAAUUUAUUUCACCAAGAAUUUUCUUGUAGCAUUCUACUUGGAAAUCCCAAAUAAGAUAUUCAAGUCAUUAA